UUGGAGGGCAAGUCUGGUGCCAGCAGCCGCGGUAAUUCCAGCUCCAAUAGCGUAUAUUAAAGUUGUUGCAGUUAAAAAGCUCGUAGUUGAACUUCGGGGUUCACCCAUUGGUCAGGCUUAAUUGUCUGCACUGGUGAGAUGAGUCUCUACCUUCUGAGGAACUUUCAUGUCAUUAAUUUGGUGUGAUUGGAAAUCAGGACUGUUACUUUGAAAAAAUUAGAGUGUUUAAAGCAGGCUAACGUCUGAAUACAUUAGCAUGGAAUAAUGAAAUAGGACGGACUGAUUCUAUUUCGUUGGUUUCUAGGAUCACCGUAAUGAUUAAUAGGGAUAGUUGGGGGCAUUAGUAUUCAAUUGUCAGAGGUGAAAUUCUUGGAUUUAUUGAAGACUAACUACUGCGAAAGCAUUUGCCAAGGAUGUUUUCAUUAAUCAAGAACGAAAGUUAGGGGAUCGAAGACGAUCAGAUACCGUCGUAGUCUUAACCAUAAACUAUGCCGACUAGGGAUCGGACGAAGUUAAUUUUAUAAUGACGCGUUCGGCGCCUUACGGGAAAC
rnacentral:rRNA from 1 species